AUUGAACGCUGGCGGCAGGCUUAACACAUGCAAGUCGAACGAGUGGCGGACGGGUGAGUAAUGCUUGGGAAUCUAGCUUAUGGAGGGGGAUAACUACGGGAAACUGUAGCUAAUACCGCGUACCAUAGGAUGAGCCCAAGUGGGAUUAGGUAGUUGGUGAGGGAAAGGCUCACCAAGCCUACGAUCUCUAGCUGGUCUGAGAGGAUGACCAGCAACACUGGGACUUAGACACGGCCCAGAUGCCAACGGGAGGCAGCAGGGGGGAAUAUUGCGCAAUGGGGGCAACCUGACGCAGCCAUGCCGCGUGAAUGAAGAAGGCCUUCGGGUUGUAAAGUUCUUUCGGUAGCGAGGCGUUAACUACAGAAGAAGCACCGGCUAACUCCGUGCCAGCAGCCGCGGGAAUUC
rnacentral:rRNA from 1 species